rnacentral:lncRNA from 1 species
UUUCAUUUUCUUACCAUGACUCUGUCUAUAAAUUGUUAAAUAUGCAAUUGAAAAAAAGUUUCUCCUAGUCAGGGUAAUCAGGUAAUCUUUGUGAAUAUGGUAAUCAUCACAUUUUAACAGAAUUUCAAUUCUGGUCAGAGAUUUCAAAGCCUAUUUAGAGAGCAAAACAAAAUGAAUUAAGCUGUUUCUAAGACAUCUGUUAAAUGCCCAAACGCGUCUGGCGCUGAGAACACCAAGACGGUGCUAGGGAAACCGAGAUGAAUGAAGAAACACGCUUUCUGCCUGUGCAGUCUCCUGAUCCUUCACUUGGCCGUGUGGUAGACUGAUUGCAACAAUGUGUGCAGUUCUUCCUUUCCCUGUGUUUACAGCAAUAGUAGUGUGAUAUCAAAGCACUUUCUCUCUGUUCCCUACCCCUUGAGUCUGGGCUGGUCAGGUGACUUGCUCUGGCCAAUCACCAUAAGUGACUAUGUGCUGGUUCCAGUCUGGGACUGAGGGACUUUGUGCACCUUGUUUGCUCUCUGGGAAUGCUGCUACGGACAUAUGGAGUAAGAGACACCACACAGAGGAGAGAUGAAGUGGCCUACAGACAUCACCUGGAACAGCCAGCCCACAGCUAAGCCAGCAGCGCCGCAGGAAGACUUCACUUCCAACUACCACUGCAGGGCCAUAGGACUGAUUCUGGACAAUGGAACGAGGGCAGAAAUGAUGAAGGUCAUUUUUCCAGCCUAG